AACGAACGCUGGCGGCAGGUCUUAGGCAUGCAAGUCGAACGGGUGUAGCAAUACAUCAGUGGCGCACGAGUGAGUAACGCGUGGGAAGCUGCCCUUCACUGGGGAAUAACGUUUGGAAACGAACGCUAAUACCGCAUACGCCGGAAACGGGAAAGAUUUAUCGGUGAAGGAUGCGCCCGCGUUGGAUUAGCUUGUUGGUGGGGUAACGGCCUACCAAGGCGAUGAUCCAUAGCUGGUCUGAGAGGACGAUCAGCCACGCUGGAACUGAGACACGGUCCAGACUCCUACGGGAGGCAGCAGUGGGGAAUAUUGGACAAUGGGGGGAACCCUGAUCCAGCCAUGCCGCGUGUGUGAAGAAGGCCUUAUGGUUGUAAAGCACUUUAAGCGAGGAGGAGGCUCUUUUGGUUAAUACCCAAGAAGAGUGGACGUUACUCGCAGAAUAAGCACCGGCUAACUCUGUGCCAGCCGCCGCCGUAA
rnacentral:rRNA from 1 species